AGCCACUGAUGAAACUUGAUUCUGCCAAAUGAAUUGCUGUGAUAUUAACAAUUUCCGUUCCACUUUUCUCUGAGGUU
rnacentral:snoRNA from 1 species